rnacentral:lncRNA from 1 species
UAUAUAGUUCCGGAUUUACUACUCUUAUUUAAUUUUAAAAGAAAACUUCAAAAACCCCCCCAUGUGGUUUCAUACUUUUUUAUCUUAGUACCAUAUGCUUUAAAGUGUAUUAAGUUAGUAUUUUGUGGUUUCUUAUUUUAUCACUUUAGUACCCUAUGGUUUAAAGUGUGUCAAUUAGUACUCUGUGGUUUUAUUUUUGUAUCAAAUUAGUACCCUGUAGUUUUUAAACCAUAGGGUACUAAAGUGAUAAAGUGCAAAACUACAGGAUGCUAUGAUAAAGUGCGAAACCACAGGGUACUAACUUGAUACAUUUUAAAUCACAGGGUACUAAAGUAAAAAAGUGCAAAACCAUAGGGUACUAACUUGAUACACUUUAAACCACAGGGUACUAAAGUGAAAAAAAGUGAAACCACAAGGGGGGUAUUUGAAGUUUUCCCUUCAUUUUAUAAGCAGAUCCGUGAAUAAAUUAAUUAUUCUUUAGAAAUCGAUGAGAUUUAGACCUUAUUUGAAAUUGCUUUGUUCAAAUAUGUUCACCUGUGUUAUGUUUAAUUUGAAUGAUUUAAAAAUUUUGAGAGCAUCAACUUCUAAUUCUUAGUACAAUGACAAGUUCCAAAGUCAUUAUAACAUUAAAUAAAAAAUAAAUAGCUCUAAAGUGCAUCUUAAUCUAUUUUAUCAUUCAAAUUCAAGGUAUUAAAAAUGAAUACUUUUAUUAAAAAAUACAAUUUAAAAUCCCACUAAAAUAAUAACUAAAUUUAAUAUUAAAUAUUUAUUAUUAGGCUAAAAUACAGAAAAUUAUUAUGUAAAUACUAUUUUUUUUACAUUCUUUUCUAACUUCCAAAAAUAUAUAUUUUAUCCACUUAAAAUAUCAAGUUACUACAUUUAACCCCUCCGUCAGACUCCGUCACUAUUUCGUUUCAAUUCUUAUAAUUUAUAUCAAAUUUUUUAAAAAUAUUUAUAAAAUUUAAGAGUAAAUUACAAACUU